rnacentral:rRNA from 1 species
UGGCCUACGGGGGGCAGCAGUGAGGAAUAUUGGUCAAUGGUCGGGAGACUGAACCAGCCAAGCCGCGUGAGGGAGGAAGGUACAGAGUAUCGUAAACCUCUUUUGUCAGGGAACAAAGGCGGGGACGUGUCCCCGGAUGAGUGUACCUGAAGAAAAAGCAUCGGCUAACUCCGUGCCAGCAGCCGCGGUAAUACGUAGGGGGCAAGCGUUAUCCGGAUUUACUGGGUGUAAAGGGAGCGCAGGCGGCGUGGCAAGUCAGAUGUGAAAACCCGGGGCCCAACCCCGGGAGUGCAUUUGAAACUGCC